UACGGAGAGUGCAAGCAUUAAUCGGAAUUAUUGGGCGUAAAGGGCGCGUAGGCGGAAGAGGAAGUCAGAUGUGAAAUUCCGAAGCUCAACUUCGGAGCUGCAUUUGAAACUUUUUUUCUAGAGGAUUGACGGAGAAAACGGAAUUCCACGUGUAGCGGUGAAAUGCGUAGAUAUGUGGAAGAACACCAGUGGCGAAAGCGGUUUUCUAGUUAAUACCUGACGCUGAGGCGCGAGAGCAAGGGGAGCAAACAGG
rnacentral:rRNA from 1 species